rnacentral:rRNA from 1 species
CCCUAGUAUGGUUAAUUUUUGCAAUUAGUAUGUUAUGAAAUUUAAUAAUUUUGGCGGUUAAUUAUUAAUUAGAGGAGCUUGUUUGUUAAUGGAGAUUACACCUUAUAUUUUAUUUUUAGAAAAGUUUAUUCAUCUCCGUUAUUAGAUAAGUUGAAUUUAUUGGAAAAGAUAAGUUACUAAUUCUUUAUUUCAGGUCAAGAUGUAGCUUAUGUAAAAUUUAUAAUUAGCUACAUUUUUUUAAAAAUGGAUGUUGAAAUUGUUAUAUAAUCUGAAAUUGAAUUUAAUUGUAAUAUGAAUUAGAAUUUUUGUAUGAAUUUAAAUAUUUAAUGUA